rfam:Candidatus Burkholderia brachyanthoides strain TZHbot7 BRCHctg51, whole genome shotgun sequence.
GUGGGCAUCGUCACAGUCCAGCCGACCUCCGUGCCGGUCGUCGCCGAAUUGCCGGGCCGCACCAGUGCGUUCCUCGUGGCGCAAGUGCGCGCGCGGGUGGACGGUAUCGUGCUGCGCCGUGAGUUCACCGAAGGCGACGACGUCAAGCAGGGCCAGCAUCUCUAUAAGAUCGA